AUUUAACUUGGUAAUGGACAGGUUACUUAGAACCUUACCCAGCGAAAUUGGUGCCAAAGUCGGAAAUGCCAUUACUAACGCGGCCGCGUUUGCAGAUGAUUUGGUACUAUUUGCGGAAACUCGGAUGGGGCUUCAAGUAUUGUUGGACAAGACGUUGGAUUUUCUAUCUAUCGUCGGCCUCAAACUUAAUGCCGACAAAUGUUUUACCGUUGGCAUUAAGGGCCAGCCGAAACAGAAGUGUACCGUGUUAGAGGCACAGAGCUUCUACGUAGGCUCGAGUGAGAUUCCAUCACUGAAGCGCACGGACGAGUGGAAGUACUUAGGCAUCAACUUCACUGCAACCGGGAGGGUUCGAUGCAAUCCGGCCGAGGACAUUGGUCCAAAGCUACAAAGAUUGACAAAGGCCCCCCUCAAACCACAACAGAGGUUGUUCGCCCUUCGGACUGUCCUUAUCCCACAGCUCUACCACAAGUUAGCCCUUGGGAGUGUGGCGAUAGGCGUCCUAAGAAAAACUGAUAAACUUAUAAGAUAUUAUGUGCGAAGAUGGCUAAAUCUUCCGCUGGAUGUGCCGAUAGCAUUUGUUCAUGCACCCCCAAAAAGUGGAGGUCUCGGAAUUCCAUCACUAAGAUGGGUAGCUCCAAUGUUAAGGCUAAGACGCUUGAGUAACAUUAAAUGGCCUCACCUCACGCAAAACGAGGUAGCCAGCUCUUUCCUCGAAGCCGAAAAACAACGGGCCCGAGAUAGAUUAUUAGCUGAACAAAAUGAACUGUUAUCGCGUCCGGCAAUAGAAAAAUAUUGGGCGAACAAGUUGUACCUCUCAGUUGAUGGUAGCGGACUCCGUGAAGCGGGCCAUUAUGGCCCGCAACACGGGUGGGUUAGUCAACCCACGCGUUUAUUAACAGGAAAGGAAUAUAUAGACGGUAUUCGUCUGCGGAUAAAUGCCCUACCCACAAAGUCUCGUACUACAAGGGGAAGGCACGAAUUGGAACGACAGUGUCGUGCAGGAUGUGAUGCUCCCGAAACAACAAACCACAUAAUGCAAAAAUGCUACCGCUCGCAUGGGAGGCGGGUAGCUAGACACAACUGCGUAGUAAAUCGAAUCAAGCGGGGACUUGAGGAGAGAGGCUGCGUGGUCAUUGUUGAACCAAGUCUGCAGUGCGAAUCCGGCCUUAAUAAACCAGACCUGGUGGCACUACGACAAAAUCACAUUGAUGUGAUCGACAUACAAAUUGUGACAGACGGACACUCUAUGGAUGAUGCGCACCAGCGCAAAAUCAAUAGAUACGACAGACCGGACAUACGAACUGAAUUGCGUCGCAGAUUCGAAGCCGCAGGUGACAUUGAAUUCCAUUCUGCCACCCUGAACUGGAGGGGAUCUGGAGUGGUCAAUCCGUUAAAAGAUUGAUAGCAAAGGGUCUCCUCAGCAAAUAUGAUAGUCAUAUCAUUAGCGUCCAGGUUAUGAGAGGCAGUCUCGGUUGUUUUAAACAGUUCAUGUACCUGAGCGGGUUUUCCCGAGAUUGGACUUAGCUAAAUCGUUUGGUUCAAAACAUUUGCUUGCUGUCUUGGCAUAACAUCAAUAAAGGCAUAAACAUCGCAAAAUAAUGGUUAUAAUUAAAUGGCUAUGAGGAUGGUUUUAGUACGUAGGCGUUGCGGAACUUCGGUUCAUAUAGAGCAAUGAAUCGUGCAUGCUAGGAAAACUGACCACACACAGUGUUGGCAGACCUAGUAUCUUUCGAAGAUUUCCAUACCUCCGCGAUCAAAAAAAAAAAAAAAAAAUAGCCAAAUGCCUCGUCAUCUAAUUAGUGACGCGCAUGAAUGGAUUAACGAGAUUCCUACUGUCCCUAUCUACUAUCUAGCGAAACCACAGCCAAGGGAACGGGCUUGGAAUAAUUAGCGGGGAAAGAAGACCCUUUUGAGCUUGACUCUAAUCUGGCAGUGUAAGGAGACAUAAGAGGUGUAGAAUAAGUGGGAGAUAUUAGACCUCGGUUUGGUAUCGUCAAUGAAAUACCACUACUCUUAUUGUUUCCUUACUUACUUGAUUAAAUGGAACGUGUAUCAUUUCCUAGCCAUUAUACGGAUAUAUUUAUUAUAUCUUAUGGUAUUGGGUUUUGAUGCAAGCUUCUUGAUCAAAGUAUCACGAGUUUGUUAUAUAAUCGCAAACAAAUUCUUUAAUAAAACGAUGCAUUUAUGUAUUUUUGAUUUGAAAAUUUGGUAUAACUCCAAUUACUCAGGUAUGAUCCAAUUCAAGGACAUUGCCAGGUAGGGAGUUUGACUGGGGCGGUACAUCUCUCAAAUAAUAACGGAGGUGUCCCAAGGCCAGCUCAGUGCGGACAGAAACCACACAUAGAGCAAAAGGGCAAAUGCUGACUUGAUCUCGGUGUUCAGUACACACAGGGACAGCAAAAGCUCGGCCUAUCGAUCCUUUUGGUUUAAAGAGUUUUUAACAAGAGGUGUCAGAAAAGUUACCAUAGGGAUAACUGGCUUGUGGCGGCCAAGCGUUCAUAGCGACGUCGCUUUUUGAUCCUUCGAUGUCGGCUCUUCCUAUCAUUGUGAAGCAAAAUUCACCAAGCGUUGGAUUGUUCACCCAUGCAAGGGAACGUGAGCUGGGUUUAGACCGUCGUGAGACAGGUUAGUUUUACCCUACUAAUGACAAAACGUUGUUGCGACAGCAUUCCUGCGUAGUACGAGAGGAACCGCAGGUACGGACCAAUGGCACAAUACUUGUUCGAGCGAACAGUGGUAUGACGCUACGUCCGUUGGAUUAUGCCUGAACGCCUCUAAGGUCGUAUCCGUGCUGGACUGCAAUGAUAAAUAAGGGGCAAUUUGCAUUGUAUGGCUUCUAAACCAUUUAAAGUUUAUAAUUUACUUUAUAAACGACAAUGGAUGUGAUGCCAAUGUAAUUUGUAACAUAGUAAAUUGGGAGGAUCUUCGAUCACCUGAUGCCGCGCUAGUUACAUAUAAAAGCAUUAUUU
rnacentral:rRNA from 1 species